rnacentral:rRNA from 1 species
UACGAAGGGGGCUAGCGUUGCUCGGAAUCACUGGGCGUAAAGCGCACGUAGGCGGAUUCCUAAGUCAGGGGUGAAAUCCUGGAGCUCAACUCCAGAACUGCCUUUGAUACUGGGAAUCUUCGAGUCCGGGAGAGGUGAGUGGAACUGCGAGUGUAGAGGUGAAAUUCGUAGAUAUUCGCAAGAACACCAGUGGCGAAGGCGGCUCACUGGCCCGGUACUGACGCUGAGGUGCGAAAGCGUGGGGAGCAAACAGG